UAUGUACGGGACGCAGGAGUUUUCGAUCCAGAAGUUAUUGGAAACAAACAUUGGGAUUGGGUGUGAAAGAGAGAGAGA